UACGUAGGGGGCUAGCGUUGUCCGGAAUCAUUGGGCGUAAAGCGCGCGUAGGCGGCCGGAUAAGUCCGGUGUGAAAGUCACAGGCUCAACCUGUGAAUGCCGCUGGAAACUGUCUGGCUAGAGUCCGGAAGGGGCGAGUGGAAUUCCUGGUGUAGCGGUGAAAUGCGCAGAUAUCAGGAGGAACACCAAUGGCGAAGGCAGCUCGCUGGAACGGUACUGACGCUGAGGCGCGAAAGCGUGGGGAGCGAACAGG
rnacentral:rRNA from 1 species